rnacentral:rRNA from 1 species
AUGCAAGUCGUACGAGGGUUUUUAACUCUAGUGGCGGACGGGUGAGUAACACGUGAGAAUUUGCCUUUAGGAGGGGGAUAACAAUCGGAAACGAAUGCUAAUACCCCAUAUGCUUUCGAGUGAAACGGAUUUAUCCGCCUAAAGAGAAGCUCGCGGCUGAUUAGCUUGUUGGUAAGGUAAGAGCUUACCAAGGCGACGAUCAGUGUCUGGUUUGAGAGGACGAUCAGACACACUGGAACUGAGACACGGUCCAGACUCCUACGGGAGGCAGCAGUGGGGAAUUUUCCGCAAUGGGCGAAAGCCUGACGGAGCAAUACCGCGUGAGGGAAGACUGCCUAUGGGUUGUAAACCUCUUUUUUCAGGGAGGAAUAAAAUGACGUGUACCUGAAGAAUAAGCAUCGGCUAACUCCGUGCCAGCAGCCGCGGUAAGACGGAGGAUGCAAGUGUUAUCCGGAAUCACUGGGCGUAAAGCGUCUGUAGGUGGCUUAAUAAGUCAACUGUUAAAUCUUGAGGCUCAACUUCAAAAUCGCAGUCGAAACUAUUAGACUAGAGUAUAGUAGAGGUAAAGGGAAUUUCCAGUGGAGCGGUGAAAUGCGUAGAUAUUGGAAAGAACACCGAUGGCGAAAGCACUUUACUGGGCUAUUACUAACACUCAGAGACGAAAGCUAGGGUAGCAAAUGGGAUUAGAUACCCCAGUAGUCCUAGCCGUAAACUAUGGAUACUAGAUGUUGAACAGAUCGACCUGUGCAGUAUCAAAGCUAACGCG